GGAGAUAAUAUUCCAUUUCUGGCCCCUGGGGGAGAUUUCUUUUUAAUUUAUUUAUUUCAAGGGGAUCAAGAUAGUCUGAACUUUAGGGAGUGCUGUAAUUUACUGGAGAGAGGGAACACAAGACUCCGGGCCCCAAGCCAUUGGUGGGAAACCAGAUCUCAAAAGCAGAAAAUGAAAAGUCGAUCUGGGGGAAGAUUUUUAAAUAAGUGGGUCAGAGGGACGGAGAGGAGAUGAGGCGAUCAAUCUUAGCCCCCUGACAGCUCCCUCCGAUGGCAUCAAAGAAUUUGGCUCUUUGGGAAAGCGGAGGGAACAGCCUAAAUUCCACAUCCCUUUAAAAGGCCUGGGGGUGGGGGGUGAUAGCCAAAGAGAAAGGUGAUUCUGCGAGAGCGGGGAAACAGAUGGGAAAUGGGGACAGAGGGAAGGCCGCUGAGUUGGGUGGAAAGUUUGUCUGGAGAACUCCCACGGCUCCGGCCUCCCCUCCCCCUCCCCCUCUCGGCGGCCGGGCCCAGAGAAGGCUGGUGAGCAGAGAAAUGGCAGAUGAGCCGGCCGCUGGAACUAGAAACUUUGUGUCACUGUAACAGUCGCGUGGGUGGCGGAGAAUUGCAAGAAAGAAAAAAAAUCAAGAUUUGGAGGAAUUACCCACAAAGAUGGAAGGUGUGUUAAUUUGGGCGCUUCUUGGAUUCUACCCUGAGGAGGAGGCGCGUGGUGAGAGGAGAGGUCUGUGUAGAUCUUGAUCUGCCGCUCGCUGAGGUUCAGCAGGUUGGCCAUCUCCACGCGGCGCGGCCGGCACAGGUAGCGGUUGAAGUGGAACUCCUUCUCCAGCUCCACCAGCUGCGCGCUCGUGUACGCCGUCCGCGCGCGCUUGGACGCCGCCGACCCCGGGGGGCUCUUGUCCCCUCCCCCGCCGCCGCCGCCGCCGCCCCCGCCGCCGCCGC